rnacentral:rRNA from 1 species
AGCCAGACUCCUACGGGAGGCAGCAGUGGGGGAUAUUGCACAAUGGGGGAAACCCUGAUGCAGCGACGCCGCGUGAGUGAAGAAGUAAUUCGUUAUGUAAAGCUCUAUCAGCAGGGAAGAAAAUGACGGUACCUGACUAAGAAGCCCCGGCUAACUACGUGCCAGCAGCCGCGGUAAUACGUAGGGGGCAAGCGUUAUCCGGAUUUACUGGGUGUGAAGGGAGCGUAGACGGCGAUGCAAGCCAGAUGUGAAAGCCCGGGGCUCAACCCCGGGACUGCAUUUGGAACUGUGUGGCUGGAGUGUCGGAGAGGCAGGCGGAAUUCCUAGUGUAGCGGUGAAAUGCGUAGAUAUUAGGAGGAACACCAGUGGCGAAGGCGGCCUGCUGGACGGUGACUGACGUUGAGGCUCGAAAGCGUGGGGAGCAAACAGGAUUAGAUACCCCCGUAC